UGCUUCUUUCCUUCCAUUCUUUCUUGCUUGCUCUCUCUCUUCCUCCUUCCCUUCCUUCCUUUCUUAUGCUGAGUUAAAACUCCUCUUUUUCUUAAUCACUCAAUUUUCUCACCUGCUUCCCAACCCCCACGAAAUUAGACAAGCUUUCUAAGAGUAAGAACAAUGGUGUGGUAGACAGAACCAGAGUCAAUGCUGGGCAGACGGCAGCAUAUCAGCUCCAAACCUGCCCAUUCAUUAUUUUAGGUAGGAACUGGCCAUGUACAUGAACCAUCGUACCAUUGUAGGACAUUGAGAGGGAUCCCAGAGAUCAUCUAAUCCCAAGUCCCUGCUUCUGAGUUGUAGCUUUGGAGGCCUAGAAGCAGAUGUGUGAUUUGUAUGGGGGUCUCCCCUUUCCCACCUCAGGGCCCUACGUGGUUACAAAAUCCCAGUAGCUAUGUGGUCAGGUUUGCCACACUUCAUGCCUUCAACACUCUGGAAUUUCGGACAUCUUCCCUCUCCAUCUGCUGGGUCUUCCAGAAUUACAGCUUUUCAGGAGUGCCUGCUCCAUUACUCAGGCAAGGCCUGGGUAGGAUUUGCCAUAUCCUGAGUGAGUUGAGAGUUCUAAGAUGUUUGCUUUGUAAAGCGGAGACUUCGUUCUACUUCAUAGUGACUUCCUCGCACAUCAAUCAUGUUUUCUGGUAACAGCGUCAUGGGAGAAAUGUGAUUUGAUCUUACACAGAGGCGAUUAAGUCGCUGAACCUCUAGACUUCAUUGGGGGUGGGGGGGUGUUAUGGCAAAUGCUUACUUAAUGACGAACUCGUUUUGUUUUGUUUUGUUUUGUUUUGUUUUUACCACUUGAGCCUUGGAUACCACCAGUGAGCAAAGGCACCGCCCACGUGGGCUGUCAGGCUGAAGGGAAACACAGAAAACCUGGGAAAGAAAAGUGAAAAUGAACAGAAGAAAGGAAGAAACUUCAAAAGCCGUAAUUUCAGGACAAUAAAGUACUCACAUUAAUAUAGAGUACCACGAGGUUGCUUGGGCUGCACUGGGUCAUCUUGGAUCGGACUACACUCCGAGGCAGCUGCUGAUUUCCUGCAGUCACGCCAGCAUUAACCUUCACAAACAGGACCAUGCACGUACAGAACAAUCAUAAAACCGCAACGUCACUGAGCCUUACGUUUGUUGUUGAAUUAUUGCUUUGCUUACCUAUCAGUAUCAUGUCCAUUUCAUAGGUGAAAUAACAGAGACAGAGAGAUUAAGGUACGUCUCCAAGUUUGCACAGCUAGCAAGCAGGAGGUGAGCCCCAGUUUAAAUGUUGGCCCGUGGGCUUAAUCUCUGGGCAUGCUGCCUCCCAGUGAAAACGCUAUAAAAUGACGAACGAGCACCCAGAAAGGGUCUCAUGAGCCCGCUGAGGUCUUAAUGGAAGCCUCCGAAGUCCUAGAAUAAAACAAAGACGUCUCAGGGUGCCUGGGUGGUUCAGUUGGUUAAGCGUCCGACUUCGGCUCAGGUCAUGA